CAGCCUCCCGAGUAGCUGGGACUACAGGUGUCAAGGCAAAGACAAAGUCCCUAGAGGCACGGCCCAUGGAAUCUAAUAGCAGAAAGGAAGAGGGUGUUUAGGGAUGAGGGAAGGGCCAAAGGAAGUGGCCCUUCUAAGAGUGCGUCUAGGAGACUCGGGGCUUAGGUGCCUCAUGGAUCCUGUGAGACACAAGAGCUUGUUCUGAUGAAGCAGGCUGCCACGUUGUGAGCUGCGUAUGGAAAGGCCCAUGCUGCAUGGCACUGAGGAAUCUCCAGGCAGCAGCCAGUGAGGAGCUGGAUCCUGCCAGCCACCAUGUGAGUGAGCUGGGAAGUGGAUCCAACCCCAUGUCAGCCUUGAGAUGGCCACAGCCCCACGGACAUCCCACCUGCAGCCUUGGGAGGGGCCUUGAGCCCAAGACCCAGCUAAGCCACACCUAGAUUCUCAACCCGGAGAAACAGUGACAUAAUAAACCG